UUUUCACUCUGUGCAGUCAGGUUUGCCCGCCCCUAGCAGGUCACAGAGGAGGUUCCACAAUCAUCAUGCUGUUGUUUGACCCUGAAUGAUUUCCUGUUUCUUCCAUUAGGCUCCAAAUCAGAGAUCUGCAGCUGGACACUUCAUGCACCCUCUAUCAGGAAACCUGGCUGAAUUGGCUGGGGGAAAAGAAGAGACAGAUGGCCAUCUGUGACUAGAAUAUCCUUACUUGCAGCUUGUGUGAUCCACAGAAACUUGGAGGCUUCCAGGAAAAGUGAGCUUUAUCAUCAAGUAGAAGUUACAAGAACUCACCAAUAUGAAAAAAAAAAAAAAUCAAUUAUUUGGGAUACUCCAACCCCUCCCAACUCCCAGUUCCUGUAGAAGCCAAGGUGUCACUCUCUCAGCUUAUGCUGGGGCAGUGAGAGUGCCUGUACUCCUGGAGAUGUGACCCAGCUUCAUCCCAAGCCUGCACGUGUGUCCUCCCUCUUACCCCAGAAGUGAAUUAUGCUGUGGUCUCUCAGAUGAGCCCAUGGGGACUCCAGCAAGGAUGAGGACUGCAGGGUGUGCUGUAUGGACCUAAGUCCUUGCUGGCCAAAAUGUUUUCUGAUUACAGAAUUGAAUUCUAUAUGAAUCACUCUGUCUGUUCUGAAGUAUUUUCCCGUAGAGGCAGUGGUUAGUAGUUCAGCUUGAGUUAAAUGUUACAUUUUCUGUUUAACUAAUUACAUAUUACUAAAAAAAAUCCACUGUAAACAAAGUUGAGAAACAGUGCCUUAAAGUUUGUUACUGUAUUUAUAGAGGUCAGUCAAGCAUACACUGGUAAAAUAAUAACUGUUUGCUCUGUACAUAAUCUCCUUGUUCUGGAUUACAUCAGCGCUUGCCCGAAUACAAUUAAAGUACCUGACACACCACAGCAAAAAUUCUGCCAAAUGCUGAACUCACCCAGGCUCAGAUAUGUGAGCUAUACUCAGGCCUCUCCCAGCUUUUGUUUACCUGGUGCUGAUCAUGCUGAUCUAACUACAAAAUGUCCAAACUGCAGCACAAUCAGAAUGAGUGCUUCCCAUGCUGGCUGGGGUAAAACCAGUUUAGUCUGCAAUAUACUUGGCUCAAACCCAGAAAGGUUUUCAGGCAAUUGCACUGUAAACCAUGGCACAGAGGUUAGCUUUCAGUGAAGAGCAGGGCUGUAGCAAGGUGGAGGACUUUGGAGAAGCAGAGGAUGUUAAUCCAUAGGUAGUUUCUCACCACUGGAGACAGUGGCUGAUAAAUGGCUAAAACCUGGGCAGAGGCUCAAGGUGGAGAGUGGAAAUAGUGCCUGGAGUUCUCAGUCAUGAUUACAGAGCACACCAAGCACAAAGCACUGUGGGUCUGGUGAGAUGGAACGUCUGCCUCCUGCACUGCUGUCCUGCAGCCAAGCACAUGAGGGCUGGACCUGCUCCCCUCUCAGUGAACUGCCCUGCUGCCACAAACAUGGUCCUUAAAGCCUUCAGGAGCAGGCAUCAGGGCCUUGGACACCUCAGUUUUCCUGAAAAUGAAGAAUGCUAACAGGAGGAAAAGGGAACAUGUUUUUUUCCCCUGUACCAUCUGUUUCACAGCAAAAAGCACUCCUGUGAUUGUAGAUCAAUCAAGGGAGUUUACGACUCCAGAUGAUGUGUUGGUGUGUAGCAGCACUCUGCUCAUCCCUCCCUGGAUUGGUCUUAAUUUCUGACACCCUAAUAACCUCCUGCUCCUACCUGCCUGGGCCUCCAGUGGGACUUGAUUAAGUGCUUAUAGUUUAACUUGUGAACAGGAAGAGGAUCUCCUGUGUAAUGGAAGUGAAGUGUUGUAGGGCUUGGCUGAGUAAGGGCUGGCUGCAAAGGCAGUGAGAUCAGUUCUUCCAGGGUCGGUAAAAAAGAGAGAAGGAAGAGAAGAACCAGGCCCACAUUUUUUAUGGAUCUUUUCCUUUUGGCUGAAUCUGUUAAUGCCAGCAAAAUCUGGGGUACUUCAAAAAAAUAAAGCCACUAUUGUCAACAUUAUUUAAGGGAUAGCAGAAUCCAGGACAGGAGAUCACCAUUAAACAACAUUCUAUCUUGAAAGACACUGCGUAAGAAGGCAGUCUAUGAUAUUGAUCCUGGCUUUCUUUCAAAACUUUAAAAAUGUUAUAAAUCUGGCAAUGUAAGUGUUGUUCUAUGAUGUGAGGGAAAUGGGAAUCAAAACUGAUCUUCACAGUCUUGUACUUUGAGCAAGUCAUACUGUUGAUCACCUAAGCAUCCAAACAUUUAUGUUUUAUUUAUAAAUAAGCCAAGUCUUUUCCAAGGCUCACUUCCUGGUGAAAAGACAGCAUUCAAACCACAGAAAUCCUUUGUGUCAUGUGUACUGCUCAUUAUUCUGGGAAACUCUGAGAGAUGCCUAUUGUAUACUGAAUUCUUUGUUUCAAGCUUCCAGAGGUCCUCCUGGGAUGCUUCCCCACAAAGUUACUGUGGCCGUGUUUAACAAGCACUUGAAACCCAGAGCAUGUACUUGUACAAAAAUGAGAAUAUGUAGCAGCAUGUGAAGUGCUAUGGAAAAUUGCAGCCUGGCUCAAUGCUGGGGGAGAGGAAUCUCUACCAUUGUCAGCAGGAAACUUCUGGAGGUCUGAAAUAGUAAGAGGAAUAAUAGAAUGUGAAAAAUAAAUGUGAUUUAGGAAUGUACAUAUUUUUCCAUUUCAGUAUUGAGUACCUGUAAAUAGUUUCAUUUUGGAGAUUCUAGAUUUUGGAGUUCUAGAAAUACAUAUCUAUUUGAGAAUUGCUGGAGAACAGUAGCAAAAUUCUGCCUAUUAAAUUGCAUAGCUAUUUCUGAAAGCCAAACCAGCCAGCUUCAGAAAAUACCUUUUGACAUCCACUCUGACUUUAAAUUUAUGCCCCUUAAGAACAAGAGGAAAUACAUUGGUGUUUUCUAGAGGCUGAGUUUUAUAGAGAGACCCACAGUGUGAAACACCCACAGCAGCACAGUCCAUGAAAAAUUCUGACCUUCAUUUUAGCAUUCUUUUAGCAGUUGGCCUGGAAAUCACUGAGCCCUUUGUACGUCCUUUUGUUCUGUUUUUAAGCAAUAUGCUUGCAAUAAGCAGAAGUGUCCGUAUCUCUUCCGUGGGUGUCUAGAAAAUCUCGCUGUACAAUUUGCUGCAUAGCCUUUUACCAGGUUCACAAACACCAAUGAUUGCAUAUGAUAAUUGUGCCCACAGCCUUUUAUUGACUCAUUUUAACAACAGGAAUUGCAUCAUUUAUAAAGACCAGUUACUUUUUCUUCUAUUUAGAAUUCUCAUUAAAAGUUCAAUGACUUAUAGUCCAUCAAAAGUUCAACGAUUUAGAGUAGAUCACUUUCACAAUUCCUACGAAUUCAUUAACACUGUAUUUAUAAUGUUGCACAGGGAAAUUGUAAGACUGUUUCUAGAUUGGCAAUGAAAACAUUUGUCACAAAAUAGGAAUGUGAUUUUGGGACCAAUCUGGAGCAUCAGGUCCAGCAAACCAACCACCUCAAUAUCUUGUCAUCAGAUCCAAGCUAUCUGAGCCUGAUUUAAUUCUGUACUCCUCUACUUCAUUGUCACGACUUUUGCUUUUCCAGCAAGGUUCAUGCACUGAUUGUUCCUUUCUGCAGUACAACAGCCUAUGUUCACAUUUUUCUCCUCAUGAUGAUGUUUCUAUGUGAAGCAAAAAACACUGAAUGUUUUCAAGCACAUUUUUGCAGAAAUUAAUAGAGGACACUGUUACAAAGUCUCAUGUUUUCCAGAAGCCAUUCUGCAAGGAUGGAGAGUUGGGUAACAAGCUACAGUAAACUUAUGUGAUGAGUAUGUAGUUUCCUCUUCCAUGAACUUUACAUUUGCUGUGCAUUUUGGAGCAUAAAGAAGGAAUAAUCAUAUAUAUAAUUUAUACAUUUUAUAAGUUUAUCUUAUAAGUAUUUACAAGUUUAUAACUUACAAGUUUUGUAAGUUUAUAUUAUAAACUAUAUAUUAUAAGUUUACCUUUCUGUAUUUAGGUGUACAUCCUUUUUGCCUCUAGAGUAGAGACUUCUGUUACUCAGUAAAAAGAGAUCAACCCUCACACUUCAUAUAAUGGCAUAUUGACCAAUUUUCUGCUGAAACUUCUUAUUUUUACUGACUGAGUUUUCACACUGGCAGCAUAAGAAUGAAUUGGUAAGUUGAUUUAGCUAUCAUUAGCUAUGUGUCAGCUAUCAUUAGAAUGAAAUCAGUGGCAUAUAAAUAGUGUUUACUAACCUAAUGCAUAGCUGAUGUUUGCAUCCUAACUUUCCUUUUAAUAGUAUCCAAGAACAUGGCUUCAAAUUUGGAUGCACUUCAGUUACUGAAUUAAUAUUCUUACUCUCUCUGAAGAACUGAAGGCCUGUCCCUUCAAGAAAAUACUUAUGAUCUCAGAGGAAAAGCUUUAAGAUUAUAACAGAGGGAAGGACUGACUUCAAAAGGAUUUUGCACAGAGCUUCUCCAUCAGACCAGUGAAAAAUAGAAUUGGGAAGCAUAGAUGCCCAUGGAAAAAAGGGAAAACAAAGCACUGAGGGAGUGGAGGACAGAGGCCCUGAAGAUGUGUGCAAAUGGUCUCCAUAGGAAUGAACUUCAGCUAAAGACAUUGGCUAAAUCAGCAUGAAUUACAAUGAGAAGCCAGGAUUUCUAAAAUCUUAAUAGGCAUAUUUAGCUACCUCUUAUUAUCUACUUCCUCUUAUUCAGAGCAAAUGAUCACAGAUAAAUCACAGAUCUACACAUUUUGCACAUGAUGUAAAAAUUGUGGAAAUAAUUGAACAGGAAUAUGAGGAGCAUAUAGACAAAUUUUAAUUGCUUGUCUUAUUGCUCCUGCCUGCUGCUAAGUUUGAACCCUUGAAUCCUCUGUUCUUCUAAUCAAUACAGGAAUACAAAAUGUGCCUUUUGUUUAGGAAGUCACUAGUACAUCAGCUUCAACUGAAGUAAGCAGAAAUGAAAAGCUUAUGUUUUCCUGCAAAAGUGAGUGACCAGCAGUAAAUUCUGGGUAAUGAAAGGGGUUUGUUUCAUGAGAGAUCUCAGGCAGAGCUAACCACAAGUAUGUGUCAUUCUUUAUUUAUGGCGAAGUUGAGAGAGGAAAGCCAGUCUGCCUUUAACAUUUCAAAGCUAAAAGUCACACUCAAAAUAUCUUCAAGUUAUUAGUAAAAUUAAUGUCCUUACACCUGCUAUAAUUCUCCAAAUAUAUAAAUACCCUGCUCUGAAUAUGUACCUCAAAUAUAUAGUUCUUGCCAUCACUAAUGUAAUCCAAAUAAUUUGGUACUUUUAAAACAACUCAUUGAGAGUCUUUCUAAUUGAUUGGUAAACAGGUUUAUGCUGGGAUGGUAUUAUCAUUUAAUGGCCUUAAAAAGCAUAAAACUACUGAAUUAUUGAACCUAAUUUAAAUUCUACUCAGAGGCAGAAAACCCACAACAAAUCUGUUCUUGCUCAAAAUAAUUUUUUGUUGUUAAUUUGCAGUUUAAAUGUUGAAAGAAUUUUCUGAAACCUGAUUUUAUUUAUUUUGAUGAUAUAUCAGGCUUAUAAGAUACUGCAUAUUUUUAUAAUGGGAAAUGUCAUUUAUUUCUUGAGCUGCAAUUAAUAGUAUACUUUUUAUUUCUUGUAUUGCGAUAAUUUUCAUUGUUUUCACCCUAACAAUUUAGCUAUUAUAAUUCAAAAUAGUAGUGUUGAAAGACAAAUAAGCAAAUGAGCUUUUUAUAAAUAAAUAAUCUUGGGCUUAUUUGUAUUUUUCAUUUAAUAUCAUUUAACACAAACAUUUGUUUCCUGAUUAAGAUGCUCAGGACACCCACCAUGUGGGGCUCUGAGCAGCUGGGUCUAGUGAAAGGUGCCCCAGCCCAUGGCAGGAGAAGUGGAACCAGGAAACUUGAAGGCUCCUUCUAGCCUAUGCAUUUCUAUGAUUAGAAAUACAGCAAUACCAAAAACUGGGCAUCAGCGUGUUUUACAGUGUUUUUGUCUGAGAAAAAUCAAAGCAAAAACCCCACAAUCCAAACAAAAACCUUACACAGUUUAACAGUCUAAAAAAUUCAAUAAGGAAAUAUUACCUUACCCUGAAUAUCCCCAGAGAUUCUGGCCUUUUAUCCAUUACUUUGGUAAUUUCCAGUGAUAUGGAAACCUGUUCUUUGCAUGCCUGUUCAGACUACUGUCCUUAUUUCAUUGAGGAUACUAAACUGCAGCUAGGUGUUAUAUAAUAUAAAAGCCUUUUAGGAAUUUAAAAACAUAGUCCAAAACAUCUUUUCUUCAUUUCUCCAUCAAUGUGAGCUGUAUACACAGUGUGAAAAUGCAGGACAAAACAUGUCAAGUAUUUUUCUUCAGUAUUAUAGACACUUCCUUGCCCUGCUCAUUGAGGUAGAUGGGUUCAUUUUCAUGCUAUUGGCAUUUCCUUAUGAAAAGGAAUAGUAAUUUAUUCUGUUCCAGCAUGGGGAAUGACCCACAGGUCUCUGCAUGGGCCAGUAGGAGACCUGCUGUGCUCAGAGAGCACAGCACUGUGAGGACUGCCUUUGCUGGGCUUUGCACAGGCUGCAAACCCAGCUGCAGCCAGACAGUUACUUAACUCUUCCAAAAAAGAGUAUUAGUUAACAAAAGCCUAAGGAAGUACAGGACAACCUUUCCAGCUUUGGCCUUUUCUUCUGAGCCUUUACCUUCCUUCCCAAACCAAAACUUCACUAGCCUUUGAGAAAAACAUCUGCUAUGACAGAGACUGAGUGCACUGGGGCCAACAUUUAAAUUUAAGGUGGCUUUGACUAGAGUCCAAAAUGCCUGGCAGAAUACUUAUACCAUAGACUGAUUCAAAGAGGUAAAUAUCAUACUAUGGCUCUGUUAUUUUAGGAGAACCUUCAACAUCAGCCUAUUUGUCAGAGCAAAGUGAAAUAGUCAGGACCCAAAUGAUCGUACCACCGCGGUGGAAGUCCAUGUUUUCAGGCAGGCUACCUACCCUCACCAGACUCAGAAACUGGAGAUUAUUGGGAUGGGAGAAAGUGGAAGAAAAGUGGAAAAUGGAAAGCGGAAAGCAAGGAAGGGUGGAAGGUGGGAAGAUUCAUGUGCUGUGCUCAUGAGGAUGUACUCAGGCAUCACCAUACGCCAGCCAUUCAUUUCCCCCUUCCUCAAGGACAUGAGCUUGUUUUUCUAUAGGAACCACCCCUGUACAACCAUGCCAUCUGCCUGUCUGCCUCCCAGCUCCAACUUCAGCACAACAUCCAACUUCAGCCAAGAUUGAGAGAGGUGCCACAUUCUCAAAGAUGCUAAGUUAUUACAAGUUCAUUGGAAAAUUAGCAGGCUAAAAGAGGAAAGAAGCCAAAUUUAGUGUCUCAUGGUGAGUUAAAGACAGAUCCAACUCAAUGUCUCUUUUUGAACAGGCAGCAGCCAUCUGGCCAGUGUGUAGGCACAUUUUGGCUGGUUUGUCAAGACACAGAAUCACAAAAUCACAGAAUUAUUAAGUGUGGAAAAAAUCUCCAAGUGCACCUUUGACUGAUCACACCUUGGCAACUAGACAGUGGUACUAAACGCCGCGUCCAAUUAUUUGUUGACCACAUCCAAGGACAUUGAUUCCACCACCUUCCUGGACAGCCCAUUCCAAUGCUUAACAAACAUAUCCAUGAAGAUAUUUUCCCUGAUGUUCAACCUGAAACUCCUUUCUUGCAGUUUGAGGUUGACCUCUUAUCCUGUCACAGGUUGUCUGGAAGAAGAGGCCAGCCCCACCUGGCCACACUCUCCUUUCAGGCAGUUGUGGAGAGUGAUAAGGUCACCCCUGAGCCUCCUUUUCUCCAAGCUAAA